rnacentral:rRNA from 1 species
UACGUAGGCAGCGAGCGUUGUUCGGAGUUACUGGGCGUAAAGCGUGCGUAGGCGGUGUCUUAAGUUUGUUGUGAAAUCUCCCGGCUUAACCGGGAGGGUGCGGCGAAUACUGAGAUGCUGGAGUGCGGGAGAGGUAAGCGGAAUUCCCGGUGUAGCGGUGAAAUGCGUAGAUAUCUGGAGGAACACCGGUGGCGAAGGCGGCAUCCUGGACCGGUAUUGACGCUGAGGCGGCGAAAAGCC